rnacentral:rRNA from 1 species
UACGAAGGGGGCUAGCGUUGUUCGGAUUUACUGGGCGUAAAGGGCGCGUAGGCGGCCAGCACAAGUCAGUUGUGAAAUCUCCGAGCUUAACUCGGAAAGGUCAACUGAUACUGUGCGGCUAGAGUGCGGAAGGGGCAACUGGAAUUCUUGGUGUAGCGGUGAAAUGCGUAGAUAUCAAGAGGAACACCUGCGGCGAAGGCGGGUUGCUGGGCCGACACGUGACGCUGAUGCGCGAAAGCUAGGGGAGCAAACGGG